rnacentral:ncRNA from 1 species
GCUACAUUUAAUAAGCUAGUAGAUAAACGUGGGUUGCACGGUAGCGUGCUAUUGGUUGUUUGCUUUUUUGGUUACAUUCAGAACAUACGUUCAACUCUGUCUAGUGGCUGUUCCAUCUCUCAGCUGUAUCUGUAAAGACGCGUUGACGGACAUGGGUGAGCUUGUCAUGCCGGCUAUCUUUUUGCAUGCUUCUAGAUGCCCUUAGCCAAGAGUCAGGAGUAAACGGCAUGCUAACUUUGAACAAAUUCGAGUGCUCAAGACAGGCCUUUGUGCCUAUAAAUUAUUGCAUAGAAUAAUGAAGUAGGACAUCAGUUGUAUUUUGUCGGUUUUUGGAUCCGAAGUAAUGUUUAGAGGGGAUGAAAUUCUAGGAUUAUCGCCGGGCAAACUACUACAGAGAUAUUUGCCAAGAAUGCUUUCGUUGGUCAGGGGCGAAAGUUAGAGUCUUGGUGACGACCAGAUGCCGUCGUAAUUCUGACCAUAAACUAUGCUUACUGACGAUCCACGGAGGUUCUGUAAUUAACGUUGCAGGUGGUUCCCAAGAAAUCUGUAGCUCCUUGAACUCCG